rnacentral:rRNA from 1 species
AGAGUUUGAUCAUGGCUCAGAAUCAACGCUGGCGGCGUGCCUAACACAUGCAAGUCGAACGCGAAAGUGGAGCAAUCCAUGAGUAGAGUGGCAAACGGGUGAGUAACACGUGGGUGACCUGCCUUCGAGUGGGGGAUAACGUCCCGAAAGGGACGCUAAUACCGCAUGACAUGCUGUCUUUGAACAGACGGACAUCAAAGCCGGGGAUCGCAAGACCUGGCGCUUGAAGAGGGGCCCGCGCCUGAUUAGCUAGUUGGUGGGGUAAUGGCUCACCAAGGCAACGAUCAGUAUCCGGCCUGAGAGGGCGGACGGACACACUGGGACUGAGACACGGCCCAGACUCCUACGGGAGGCAGCAGUGGGGAAUUGUUCGCAAUGGGCGCAAGCCUGACGACGCAACGCCGCGUGGAGGAUGAAGAUCUUCGGGUCGUAAACUCCUUUCGAUCGAGACGAACGGCCCUUGGGAUAACGCCCUGAGGGAGUGACGGUACCGAGAGAAGAAGCCCCGGCUAACUCCGUGCCAGCAGCCGCGGUAAUACGGGGGGGGCAAGCGUUGUUCGGAAUUACUGGGCGUAAAGGGCUCGUAGGCGGCCAACUAAGUCAUACGUGAAAUCCCUCGGCUUAACCGGGGAACUGCGUCUGAUACUGGAUGGCUUGAGUUCGGGAGAGGGAUGCGGAAUUCCAGGUGUAGCGGUGAAAUGCGUAGAUAUCUGGAGGAACACCGGUGGCGAAGGCGGCAUCCUGGACCGAUACUGACGCUGAUGAGCGAAAGCCAGGGGAGCAAACGGGAUUAGAUACCCUAGUAGUCC